CCUACGGGAGUCAGCAGUGAGGAAUAUUGGUCAAUGGCCGGAAGGCUGAACCAGCCAUGCCGCGUGAAGGUCAGUGCCCUAUGGGCGUUAAACUUCUUUUGUGCGGGAGCAAUAAUGGUCACGUGUGGCCAGACGAGAGUACCGUACGAAUACGCAUCGGCUAACUCCGUUCCAGUAGCCGCGGUAAUACGUGGGAUGCAAGCGUUAUCCGGAUUUAUUUGGUUUAAAGGGUGCGUAGGCGGCCUUUUAAGUCAGCGGUGAAAGUCUGUGGCUCAAACAUAGAAUUGCGGUUGAAACUGGGAGGCUUGAGUAUGUUUGAGGCAGGCGGAAUGCGUGGUGUAGCGGUGAAAUGCUUAGAUAUCACGCAGAACCCCGAUUGCGAAGGCAGCCUGCCAAGCCAUGACUGACGCUGAUGCACGAAAGCGUGGGGAUCAAACAGGAUUAGAGACCCGAGUAGUC
rnacentral:rRNA from 1 species